rnacentral:rRNA from 1 species
CCUGGCUCAGGAUGAACGCUAGCGACAGGCUUAACACAUGCAAGUCGAGGGGCAGCGGGGGUAGCGAUACCCGCCGGCGACCGGCGCACGGGUGAGUAACGCGUAUGCAACUUACCUAUCAGAGGGGGAUAAUCCGGCGAAAGUCGGACUAAUACCGCAUGAAGCAGGGGCCCCGCAUGGGGAUAUUUGCUAAAGAUUCAUCGCUGAUAGAUAGGCAUGCGUUCCAUUAGGCAGUUGGCGGGGUAACGGCCCACCAAACCGACGAUGGAUAGGGGUUCUGAGAGGAAGGUCCCCCACAUUGGUACUGAGACACGGACCAAACUCCUACGGGAGGCAGCAGUGAGGAAUAUUGGUCAAUGGGCGUAAGCCUGAACCAGCCAAGUCGCGUGAGGGAUGAAGGUUCUAUGGAUCGUAAACCUCUUUUAUAAGGGAAUAAAGUGCGGGACGUGUCCCGUUUUGUAUGUACCUUAUGAAUAAGGAUCGGCUAACUCCGUGCCAGCAGCCGCGGUAAUACGGAGGAUCCGAGCGUUAUCCGGAUUUAUUGGGUUUAAAGGGUGCGUAGGCGGCCUUUUAAGUCAGCGGUGAAAGUCUGUGGCUCAACCAUAGAAUUGCCGUUGAAACUGGGGGGCUUGAGUAUGUUUGAGGCAGGCGGAAUGCGUGGUGUAGCGGUGAAAUGCUUAGAUAUCACGCAGAACCCCGAUUGCGAAGGCAGCCUGCCAAGCCAUGACUGACGCUGAUGCACGAAAGCGUGGGGAUCAAACAGGAUUAGAUACCCUGGUAGUCCACGCAGUAAACGAUGAUCACUAGCUGUUUGCGAUACAUUGUAAGCGGCACAGCGAAAGCGUUAAGUGAUCCACCUGGGGAGUACGCCGGCAACGGUGAAACUCAAAGGAAUUGACGGGGGCCCGCACAAGCGGAGGAACAUGUGGUUUAAUUCGAUGAUACGCGAGGAACCCUACCCGGGUUUGAACGCAUUCGGACCGAGGUGGAAACACCUUUUCUAGCAAUAGCCGUUUGCGAGGUGCUGCAUGGUUGUCGUCAGCUCGUGCCGUGAGGUGUCGGCUUAAGUGCCAUAACGAGCGCAACCCUUGCCACUAGUUACUAACAGGUAAAGCUGAGGACUCUGGUGGGACUGCCAGCGUAAGCUGCGAGGAAGGCGGGGAUGACGUCAAAUCAGCACGGCCCUUACAUCCGGGGCGACACACGUGUUACAAUGGCGUGGACAAAGGGAUGCCACCUGGCGACAGGGAGCGAAUCCCCAAACCACGUCUCAGUUCGGAUCGGAGUCUGCAACCCGACUCCGUGAAGCUGGAUUCGCUAGUAAUCGCGCAUCAGCCAUGGCGCGGUGAAUACGUUCCCGGGCCUUGUACACACCGCCC